rnacentral:misc_RNA from 1 species
AACGCACCUUGCGCUCCUUGGUAUUCCUUGGAGCAUGCCUGUUUGAGUAUCAUGAAAUCUUCAAAGUAAACCUUUUUGUUAACUCAAUUUGGUUUCACUUUGGUAUUGGAGGUUCUUGCAGCUUCACACGCUGCUCCUCUUUGUUCAUUAGCUGGAUCUCAGUGUUAUGCUUGGUUCCACUCGGCGUGAUAAAUUAUCUAUCGCUGAGGACACCCGAUAAAAAGGUUGGCCAAGGUAAAUGCAGAUGAACCGCUUCUAAUAGUCCAUUGACUUGGACAAUAAAAUUAUUAUUAUUUUAUGAUCUGAUCUCAAAUCAGGUAGGACUACCCGCUGAACUUAA